ACUCCUGUCUCAGCUCUUCCCGGAAUGGUGUUCUCACCCCAGAGCAGUCAGAUGUCGGAGAAUCUGUUGCUGUUCUCCCCAGAACGGAAAGAGAAAGUGAGACAGUCAGUGUGUGAAAGUGACCUGAUCACAUUCACACCUCCCACGUACAGAUAAAAGCACAUCCACUCACUCUUUGGAUGUGGAUCAUAUUUUUUUUUUUUUUGGUUUGUGCUUGAAUUAGAUGUCUUUGAUUUAUUUGGUUUGUCUUUGAUUUAUUUGGUUUGUUGUUGAAUUAGACUCCUUUGAUACUUAAUUUGUUUGCUACUUUUUGUACUUCAUAAUGAACAUAUUUAGAUACAACAAAAUAUUUCUAUGCAGUUAUGACCUCAGAAAAUAUAUUUUUAAGGAUUUUAAUGUCAAAAGAUUUUGUGAAAGCCAAUUAAAUAAGAAAACAAUA